rnacentral:rRNA from 1 species
UACGUAGGGGGCUAGCGUUGUCCGGAUUUAUUGGGCGUAAAGAGCGUGUAGGCGGCCAGGUAGGUCUGCUGUGAAAACCCGAGGCUCAACCUCGGGCCUGCGGUGGGUACGGGCAGGCUAGAGUGAUGUAGGGGAGACUGGAAUUCCUGGUGUAGCGGUGAAAUGCGCAGAUAUCAGGAGGAACACCGGUGGCGAAGGCGGGUCUCUGGGCAGUAACUGACGCUGGAGGAGCGAAAGCGUGGGGAGCGAACAGG